rnacentral:tRNA from 1 species
GCCUAUAGCUCAGAUGGCUAGAGCGUUCGACUGAUAAUCGAAAGGUCGGAGGUUCAAUUCCUCCUAGGCCC